rnacentral:rRNA from 1 species
ACGGAAGGCAGCAGUAGGGAAUAUUGCACAAUGGGGGGAACCCUGAUGCAGCAACGCCACGUGUGGGAAGAAGCAUUUCGGUGUGUAAACCACUGUCGUGAGGGAAUAAUGCUUGAUUUCGGUCAAGUUGAAUGUACCUCGAAAGGAAGCACCGGCAAACUUCGUGCCAGCAGCCGCGGUAAUACGAGGGGUGCAAGCGUUGUUCGGAAUCACUGGGCGUAAAGGGAGCGUAGGCGGAGACGCAAGCAGUCUGUACAAUAUCGGGGCGCAACCCCGGCACUGCAGUCUGAACUGUGUCUCUUGGAUAGUUCAGGGGCAGGCGGAAUUCCUGGUGUAGCGGUGGAAUGCGUAGAGAUCAGGAAGAACACCGGUGGCGAAGGCAGUCUGCUGGGGAAUCAUCGACGCUGAGGCUCGAAAGUGCGGGUAGCAAACAGGAUUAGAUACCCUGGUA